rnacentral:misc_RNA from 1 species
UCAAACUUGGUCAUUUAGAGGAAGUAAAAGUCGUAACAAGGUCUCCGUUGGUGAACCAGCGGAGGGAUCAUUACUGAGUUUACAACUCCCAAACCCCUGUGAACAUACCUAUCGUUGCCUCGGCGGGAUCGCCCCGGCGCCUCCGGGCCCGGACCCAGGCGCCCGCCGGAGGACCCAAACCUCUGUAUUAAUUCUGUAUCUUCUGAGUGGCACAAGCAAAUAAAUUAAAACUUUCAACAACGGAUCUCUUGGUUCUGGCAUCGAUGAAGAACGCAGC